rnacentral:rRNA from 1 species
CGAGGUUUGACAUGGUACUGCAAGCGCACGGAAACGUGUGACCUUCGAGGGUGUACCACAGGUGUUGCACGGCUGUCGUCAGCUCGUGUCGUGAGAUGUUGGCUUAAGUGCCAUAACGAGCGCAACCCCUGCGAUAAGUUGUAUCACUCUUAUCGGACUGCCCUGGUUUAUACCAGGGAGGAAGGCGGGGAUGAAGUCAAGUCAGCGUGGCCCUUAUAUCUCGGGCUACACACGCGCUACAAUGGUAGGUAACAACGGGCUGCAAGCUAGCAAUAGUAAGCUAAUCCCUUAAACCCUACCUCAGUUCAGAUUGUCGGCUGAAAUUCGCCGGCA